rnacentral:lncRNA from 1 species
UGCCAAGAGUAGACAUAAGAGGAAAAAAUCUGUCAAUCAAGGUGCAAGUCUAGUGUAGACAGUGAAUUAUAGUGAGAGGACACUUGAGAGAAGCAAAUAAAAUAAAUUAAUUGGAAAAGCAGAAGUAAUUCAUAUAUAAUAAUAAUUAUUAUUAUUUUAAGGAAAAUACAGAGAUGAUCAGAAAGUACCUGAAACCUGGUAUUUAAGGUUCUCAUUUAAACUGCAGUUUCUUCUCCAGGGAAUGUAUUAAUUCAAUGAGUUGUAUUUCACAUAGAGAAAUCAGAUUUUUUUAACUUUUUUCUUUGUAUUUUCCAUGUCUUUAAAUGUGUCUUUUAAUUCAGAUUGGAUCAAUAGGUUCUCAGAGGGGAAGGAAAAAUAAAAACUAAGUGAGAUUGUAGGGAAAUAGCAAAAUGUAGAUUAAGAUAUUAAUUGAUCGUCUGAUUCCUACAGUGCUGCUGAUGUACAAUUACAUAGAAGUUAUAAAUAGAAGUUUACUACCGAGUGCUACAAGGAGCUAAGUUAUGCAUCUUGGCCAGAAAGGUAUCAAAUGCAAUGAGAGCCAGUUUGAAAGCUAUUUGAAAGCAAAUUCUUAGUUGUUAGGGAGCUCCAUAAACAUAAUUCACCGAAAUGAGAGGGUGAUAAAAGAACUUUUCUUUCUUCACACCUACUCUGCCUCACCCCCCCAAAACCUUGCAUAAAUCAUAGUGAAAUCUACAGAGAUGUUCCUUUCGAGUUUGAGAGUAAGUGGUGAUUUGAAGAAGUAAUUAAAGCCAGGAUCCACACAUACCAGGUGGAAUUUGUCUAUAACAUAACAGACUGCAUCAAGACAUUCCCCUUUGUCUUCCUAAUCUUUCUGUGCAGACUUCUCUGAUUGUCCUUGCAUUCCACAGCAAUCUUUGGGACAAAAGGAGUGUUGGGAGGAAGUGAAUGAUCCCCCCAAGGACUAACAAUGGACUGGCAGUGGACCAUCACAAUGCUAGAAGCCCAACUUUUAUUAGUGUCAGUUGAAACUGGGAAUAUCCCAUCUUUUUGCAAAUCAAAACUUGGCUGUCAGAAGAUACACAGCCAACAACAGGGAAUGUCUUUCCUCUCAAAAGUCUAGUUUAAGUGACUUGCUUUGAAUCAUAAGAUUUAAUUUUUAGCUCCCAUCAUUCCCUAGUUGGCCAGUUACCCAAUCAUAAAGUUAUCUGAGGCCUGUUGAGAGGAUGAUGUGAAGACAAUGGAUGCUGACCUUCCUCUUGGGAUAGCAUCUGCACCAAGACCUGACAGAAGAGAACAGCUCUGGAGGGCCAGACCCCUGGACCGCACCAAGGGAGACAUUGAACAGCACCAGGACCCCAACCUCCCACAGACAAGGACUGCCAGAGCCCCUCCAAGGGCAACACUUCUUACUUCUUCCUCCAUCAAUUCCAUUCCUUCAGGACAGCACCUGCCACACACCUUCAGGGCUGAAAAUAAGCCUCACAUCCAAGGACCCAGGCCUGCCACACACCAUCACCCCCAAACACAAGGGGCUUUUGUCCCCUGGCACCCACUCCAUAAACUCCAUCGCAGGAGUAGCACACACAGCUCAGGGACCAAAGGACACUCACCUCGCUCCACAGAGGCACCAGAGUCGCUUUAGCCCUGAAGCCACAGGAAGCAUUCCAGGAACUGAUUCCAAGGGGCUGCCAGGGUGGGCAGCCCUCGGGUUGGAGGAUGGUCACUCCUGGGCCCCCAUCACUCACCUCCUUCAUCCCACUGAAGAUGUAAUCCUUGCUGCAGCCCUCACCCUGCAACAAGACGAGAAUUACCAAGCAGUGGGGAUUGGAGAGGCCCCUCUAGACAUCAUCCCUUCCCACUCUCUAGCUAAAGCAGCUUGUUUCAGAUUUUUACAUCUCAUUUAAAGUUGUCAGUGCUGCAAGAGUUCUACUCCUUUCUAAAACAUUUUUUUAAUCCUGAGAAGUGUUAGGCUGAUAGCAAGAAAAGUUCAUGCCUUCUCUGCAUAAGCAGCUGUCUGGCAUAUGAAUAGACUAUUUAUAUAGGUAUGUCACGUACAUUCCAUCAUACCUAUAUAUGACAUUGGCUAUCGGUUAUUAUAAGAGUAGAAACAAAUAUGUUUACUCUCUUUAUUUGGGGUGUACUGGAAUGUACAUUCUACUGUUUGUUACACUGGAAUAGGCUUUGCCGGCUUCUCUGCUUCCGUGCUUUCCUGGAAUCUCUUGUUCAGCUGCAUUGACUGUUCAGCUUUUCAGAAAAUGGAAUGCUUUGGGUUAGGAUUUGAGUUCAAGGAACUGAGCCUUUACACAGGCUUGAAAUAAGAAAUAACCAUAACCUGGUGAAAGACGUGUUUUGUUAAAAUCUCACUAAAGAUUUUAGAAACUGUGUAGGAAGAAGAAGAGAGUAGGUGCUGGUUGAGGCUAGGAAAAGAGUAGAUGCAGCCACGUUUGUUUCUCAUCUUAGGGGCAGCAGGGCUAGCCCCUCACACCUCCAUAAACACAAGUGGAAUCUUCAGAGUUACUGUUUUCCUUUUAGUUUAAUGGUGGCCAUAACAGCCAUAUGCCAUCACCAGAUCAUGCUGCACUUGAGAAAUGGUGAGUCUUUGUGGAGAAGGAUUGGUACGCACUAAAAAGCAUCAGACUCCACUUUAUCCAGCAAUAGCUUCUUGCAGUCACAAUGGAGAAAACAAAAUUAAGGUAUAAUAGAAUAAUGCUUUUUUAAAGUUGAGUCUCAUAUUCAAAAUUGAUCUUGAAUGAUAUAAAGGAUUCUUGAUCACACCCCAACAACCUACAUUAUUAAAAAGCAAAACCUUUUAAGUUGAAAAUAUUUUCUAAAUGUCAUCUUUAGCAAAGGUGACUGAAAGAACCAGGCUUUUUCGUCACUUGGAAAUAACAGAUGAAGUGUAUACUGUCUCCUAAAAUAAGAUUUUAAUAACAUACUGGUAACAGGAAAAAAAUUGGUACAUUGAUCAUGGAGUUCCCAGGAUGUCUAAGUGUUCUGGGAUCUCUGCUGCCCGCUGCUGUACUUGUUCCCUUAAAGUGUAUCUGACUAUUAAAAAGAAAUAACGAAACAAAACAAAAACAACAUACAAAAAACAUCAAAACCAAAACACCAGGGUUUGCUAUAUAAGUAAUGACAGAUAUAACACCUCUGUUUAUUUUUAAACAGCUACUAAUUUAAAUAAUUUACUGCAUUUUUAUCCAUCAGAUGAUCUUUUUACCAUGAAGUAUAUGACCAGCACUGUCAUUCAUUGAAGUUCAGAGAAUUCAGAAGUAAUGACUGAUAUUCAAACGCUGUGUAGUUAUUGUAGAAAGGUUGUAUUAGUCUGAAGCUCCCUAGUCGUGUAAUUUUCUUGUUAAGCAUUAAUGACCCAUUGAGAUAGCUUAUGAUGAUGCCUCCAUUUCAUGAAAUGCUUGUUCUCAUGUGAAUAUAUUUGUUUAGCUGAUUGUUGUGAUUAUUCAUUGAUUCCACAAUUACUUUUUUUUUAUGUUUAUUCAGUGCUAGAUGUAUUUUGACAUGAUCAAACGUAUGAGAAAAUUAUUGCUUGACUGUAUGCGUGUAAAUGUACCAAAGCUGUGUGACCUUCAUCCUAGCACUAAAUGUUGUGAAGCUUUCAGUGUUGAUACAUUUUACAAAUGAUUCCAUCCAAAUUAGAUAGCCGUUAGGUACUUAUCAGCAAAGAGAAAGGAAAGAAGAGUUGUUUUCCUGCGUGAUCUCAGUGAUACAACCCAGUUUUCCUGAGUGAUAAAGUCAGGAAAUUUUUUUUAAUAGAGCAUUGGCUUUCCUAAGCCCUCACAUAACAUUGAAAGUAUAUUUAUAUUGCCAAUAGAUGGCAGCAUCGCUCUUCAGCAGAGUUCUGUAAGCUAUUUAAUGAUUAAUGUUGAUGUAAAUUACUUCAGCAGAAAAUUGUUGUCUCAGUAAAUGUUGUUCUGCUACAUUUUUUCCAAGUUCUUUACCUAUUUUUGCUAUAAAAUAGUGGUAUAUAAUAGUGUAUAGAGUGGCUACACUCUACACUCUACAAUAGGUUGUAGUGUAGCACAUCUUUGCUUGGAAAAGACCUGCUUCUCAAAAAAAGUGUUCUACCUUCUGGCAUAGUUCUCUAUGCAUUAAUUUCCAUCAUACAUAUAAUCUCUGUUUUCUGUCUGAGCCUGGAUUUAGUUUUCUUAGUGUUUUCAGUUUCAGAAGGGGCAUGUUCCCCAUCUCCUACUAUCUGAAUUAUAUUGAUACGCAGAGUAGAGCCUAGUAGAUGAUUAGUCCUGACCUCACCAGUCCUAGGCUCUCCUUUUUUUGUUGUCAUCCUAAUUAUUCAUUUGCAAUACCUAUGUUGUUGGUUGGGCUGGGUUUUUUGUUUGUUUGUUGUUUGUUUUUUAUAUUUGUUUUAAUUACUGUUAAUUGAGGUAUUUGAGUACUUUUGUAUGACUGGCUAUUAUAGGUGAAAACAUAUUGCCUGCUUGUAAGCUUACUGUGAAGGCUGAUACAUGGAGUGGAAAACAUGAUAGAUAAUCUUCUCUGUCAGCCUUAGAGCAUCUGUAUUUGUCAGCCUUUCCAUUCAGGAAGGAGAGGCCUGCAUACUCUGUCACUUUCCUGUUGCCUUUGAUCAGAAAUUUAUCUUGACUCCUGACAGCAAGGAAAUCUUUCUUGUUGCAAGUUUUGUUGAAAGCAGUGUUGAAAGCAGAAAUGGUCAACUUGAUUGACUUCUUGAGGUUCAGCAGAUUACAGGUUUUGUUCCUUUGUUAAUAUUAUUUAUUAAAAUAUUAAAUUUUCAUAUUAAGGUAUUCAUAUGUAUUCUGGAGUAACUGUGGGAAGCUCUAGAGCCAGUGUCCAUAUCGUGUUUUAUACUUCUGCUGUAGAAGACUCAUAAUUUAUCCAUUAAUAUAAUUGAUAUUUCUGAAAGAAUUAAACCAGUAGGAAGGUGAACUUUUCAAAUUUCACUUGCCAUUAUGGUAUCGGUGUAUCGGUGUAUUUGUCUAUCAGUUUAUAUGGUCAUCUGUUGUUUCUUUUCUUCCAUCCUAAGGGGCAAGCGUGCAGUAUCAUUUUAGCGAGUAGGAUUUUGUUGUUUUGAUUGCAUGAUUGUUUCAGUUUGAUAAGUAUGUGCUAGAGACAACAUCAAUAAGAUGUGUCUUGCAUUUGGAGCAGAGAGUGAUGAUGUUUCUGAUCACGUCCUCUUGGUGAUUGUUUGAGGAUGUUAAAAGUUAGUGGAAAAUAUUGUUCCUUGUAGUUUCUCAGAAAUGAGUGAGCUAUCAGUGAAAAUGCAGUUUGCUGUACACAAAAUUUCUAAAAUGGAUAUUAAAUAUCUUUGAAAAAUGAACUGAUGAUCCCCCUUUUUAAUCCUGUCAUAUAUCAUUUGUCAUGGCAAUACCCACAGAAAACACAGUUGCUCCUUUUACAUCAAAUAAAGAACCAUGAAGAACUCAGAAUUGUUAUUUUAAAAUAAAUAAAUAAAUAAAUAAUUUUGUGGAUUGUGUUACUUUUGGAGUACUAAGAAUCCAGUUUAAUCUUAUUUUUUUUCCAUCCUUAGCUA